GGUUUUGUUCAAGCUUUCCAAGCUCAUUUGUAAGUGAUCUCGAGCCCCGUUUUUAAUGUUCUUUACAUUUUUAGAGUCCCGGUAACUCGAUUUACCUAUUCCUACCAUUAAUUUGAGCUAGGGUUCAUGUUUAAAAAUUUAACCAUGUGUGAUAUGCAUGUAUUUUGAUGUUUAAUGGUAGAAUAUGAAGGCUCAGUGUGUAAUAAACGACUUUUGUUAAGUGAUUUUCGGUAAAAAUGCUUAAAAAGGAUUAAAUAGUAAAAGUUAUAAAUUAGCCAUUAAAGGGUGAUUUAGUGGAAAUUGGGGGCUUCCAUUGUUAUGAAAAUGAUUCGGCUAGGCUUGAAAUGCAAGGAGAUUGAAUAAAAAUUAUUUUACGAGCAUUAGGGCAAAAGUGCAAAUAUGUGAAAGUUUAGGGGUCAAAAUGAAAAUUUGUAAAAAUAUGAUUUUUGGAUCACAUUAAAUAAUGUGACUAAUAAUUAGACUAAAUGUGAUAUUAUAGAUCAAGGAAAAUGAGAAUUGGACAUAGAUCGGGUGAGAGAUGGAAAAUCGACGGUUAGGUUCCUUUUUGCUAUUUUGGUGCUGAGGUAAGUUCGCGUGAUUUAAUAAGCCUAUUAUUCAUGUUAUUGUUAUACAUGAAAUGUAUCUUGCUAUAAUUGUAUUGAAUUUGAUGUUAAUAGAAAUUUGGUGAAAUAUGAUGUAAUGGCCUAAAUUCAAGGUUAUCGGAACAAUGGUUUCAUAACCAUAGAUCCGAUUUAAAGAGAAAUUUAUUUCAAUAUUUUUGCUUGAAAAUUGAUAUGAUAGGAAAAUCGUAUGAAAAUAUUGAUAGAAAAAUUUUACCAAUUUAGUGAUUAGAUAGAAAAAGAAAUUAUUGAAGAAAUUGGGUAAAAACAAGGUAUCGAGACCUCUAUCUUGUAAACCCGAGUCAAAAAUAAUUUUAUAAAUAUUUAUGAAAUUUUAUUAAUGUGGUAUUAAAAUUUCGUUAGGAAAUUUUAAUGUUUGGGUAGUCAAUUAAAUGAAAAGGACUAAUUUGUAAUAGGUGUAAAAGUUGCUAGAGUGAUUAAAUAGCUUAAGAGUCUAAUGAGAAAGGAUUUAAAAGGCAAUUAGACCCAAAAGUUAUUUGGGCUGGACGCAAGGGUAUGAAAUCAGCAGAAAAAUUAAUAAAUUAAGGGUAAAAUUGGAAUAUUGCAAAAUUAACUAAAUAAAGCUAGGACUUGAUUUUUAGGACCUAAUUGUGAAAAUGCUUGGAAUUAAAGUCUAUUGCUGAAAUUAUGAUUCCUAAAGGUUGUAAAAUAGCUUAAGGUGAUAGAAUAAAAUUUUAAUUGAGAAAAAUCAGUUCAAUUGAGAGGCUAAUUGAGUAGGGACGAAAUUAUCAUUUAUUAAAAGCUUAGGGGAAAAAUGGUAAUAAACAGCUUGCACAAAAACAGUUUGGACAGCAGCAGUAGACUAACUUUGAAAAAUCAACAUAAAUUGUAUAACUCGAAUUAGAAGAUGAAAAAAAUAUGGUAUUAAAGCUUAUUGAGUCUAGUUUCUCAGAGAAGAAAUAGUGUAAGCAAUGGAUUUGUAAAUUUUGAGAUAUAAUGAAUUUUGUGAGACAAGGUCAGAAUGAAUUCGGGUUCCCCUGUUCUGACUUUUAAAAAUCAUAAAAAAUUGAAUAAAAACAAUUAGGGGCUUAAAUUUAUAUGUAUAGAAUCCUUAAUGAGUCUAUUUUUAAUAGAAACAAACGAGAACAUCAUUUGAAUUCUGUAUGAAUAGAUAAUUAAUUUUUAGUGAAGAAGGGUCAGAACUGUCGACAGCAGAACAGGGGUGACUUUAAAGAAUAAACUGUAUUUAUUGACUAAGCCAAAAAUUCUGAAAAUUUUAUGGUAAAAAUAUAUAUGAGUCUAGUUUCAGGGAAAAUUAACGGAUCUUAAUUUGGAGUUCCUUAGCUCAAGUUAUAAAUAAUUUAGUGACUAUGACUCAAGUAAACAGCUUUGAAUGAACUAUAAAUAAUAGUUGAAUUAUAGAGAAUGUUGCAUAUGAACAUGAAAUGUAUUAAAUUGAUAAUUAAAUUUAUUUAUUUAGAUCCAGAAGAUUCAAAUAUGAAGCUAGAUCAAGGAAAGGAAAAAGUUCGGGAUUAGUAGAUUUUUAUUGUUUACAAACAAGUAUCAAGGUAAGUUCGUGUAACUUGAAUUAUAUUCUUAAAUGCUUGAGAUUGUAUGUUAUUGAUGUGAAUAUGAUUUGAGUGUUCAUUGUAUGAAAAUUAAUGAAACAUUGAUAUAUUUGAUAAAAUGGGAAGAAAUCCUGAUUGAAUGAAAGGAAAAUUAGAUGGAUCUCUGAAAAGGAAUUGACGGUAAAAAGGAUCUUGCCCGGACGGGUGAUCCUAUCUUGAUAUAGCCCUCCCGAAGAAUAUGUGUAAAAUGGAUUUAGCCCGGACGGGUAAUCCGAAUUAGGGUCUGAAUUUAGCCUGGACUGGUAAUUCAGAUCCAAGCUCAUUAGAGUAAUUGUCGUUGCAGGGGAUUUAGCCUGGACUGGUAAUCCCGACAAUACUCUAUGAGUUUAUAUUGCAGGGGAUUUAGCCUGGACUGGUAAUCCCGCUGCAAGGUUGAGGUUCGCGGGAGUGUGCUCUCUGAAAUGGAAAUGUGCGCACAUGAAUAUAAAUUGACGGAUCCGGAAUUGUACACUAAAAGUGUACCUCUGAAAAUCCAUCGAAAUUCCGAUAAAUUCAACGGGAUAAGUAUAAAAAAAAUAACAAGGAAAUGGAAAUUAUGAUAUUGAUGAGCUCAUCAAUCAUGGUAUAUAUUAUUGGUAUAUGGAAAUUAUUGUACUAACUUGAAUGUUGAGUUUGUGCAUAUUAGGGUAAUAAUGCAUUGAAUGGAUAUAGGAAUGUUUAUUGUAUUGUAUUGAAAAUAUUAGGUAAGUAUAAUUCUUGUUACAUGAGCUUACUAAGCACAAAGUGCUUACCCCGUUUCCUUUUUCCCUGUUUUGUAGUGUUAAGAGCUCGGAGGUCGGCUUUGGUCGGAGACACAUCACACUAUCAACCUCAGGACUUCGGUAUAUAAAGAAACUUUAUUUUAGAAAUCAAUGGCAUGUAUAAGCU
rnacentral:lncRNA from 1 species